CUGGCGGUAUCGUGGGGUUAGUGUGGAGGCGGCUCGCCUGUGGGUUGUGAGACGGGGGACAGGAAUUGGGUUUCCUUUUUGUGCAAGAAGCACAAACGAGCCUUUCUCUCUCACGUUCUCUCCUAAAAGGGCAAAGAGGGGGUGGCGUUCAGGCUUAGCGGUUUCUAGAGCCGCCCGCGAAGGGGCCCUGGAGCUCCGCUUCCCGCGCUUCUCUCUGCCCGCCGGGUAAUCCUGCCUCGCGCACCUUUUCUUCCAGCCGGAUUUGCUUGUCUGAUUUUGGGGUCGCAUUGGCCAACGUUGCCGCACACCCCGGGGAGGGAGGAGGACGCUUUACUUGAAAGGGGUAAAGACGGACUGAUUGGGGCGCCUGGGUGGCUCAGUCGGUUAAGCGACUGCCUUCGGCUCAGGUCAUGAUCCCGGAGUCCCUUGGAUCGAGUCCCGCAUCGGGCUCCCUGCUCGGCGGGGAGCCUGCUUCUCCCUCUGACCGUCGCCCCUCUCAUGUGCUCUCUAAUAAAUAAAUAAAAUCUUAAAAAAAAAAAAAAAAAAA